UUUGGUUUCUUCUAUGACAGCGACGACGUGCUCAAACUUCGGCGUUAGACUGCGAAGGAUCCUCUCCACGAUCUUCUUCUCGUCGAUAGUCUCUCCAGUGACUUUGAUCUGGUUCACUAUCUCUGCAACACGAGCAUGAAAGUCUUUGAUGCUUUCUCUUUCCAUCAUCGCCAGGUUGUCGAAUUGACGCCAUAGAUUUUGGCGUUUUAUGGAGAUUGCCUUCUCGGAACUUUAAAAUUUGUUCCUUGGGACUUCCCAAGCUUCUUUGACUGAUUUGAUCCCAAAAAUUCUCGAAAAUAUUGUUUUGCUCACAUCUUGCUGAAUUAUCCUCAAUGCGAUGUCGUUCCUCUUGACAUUCUCCUUAUGUUCCUUCAUCUUCGUCCCGCUUGUUUUGGGAUCGUCAUCUUUUGCCGAUUCCGUCUUUUUCCUGGUCGAUGUGGAGUCGUCUUCUUGUGUAGAUUGUUCGAUGCCUUCUUGAACAAUAUCCCACAUGUCUUGCGAAAUGAAGAUAGUCUCAAUUUGUGCUUUCCAAUAUUCUUACAAUUCUCCAUCAAAAAUUGGAAUUUGAUUUGGAGAGUUGGCGAACAUGGAACUUGACGAUGGUGCUGCCAUAGGAUUUUGAGAGGAUUCAUUUGGUAGAGGUUU
rnacentral:lncRNA from 1 species